rnacentral:rRNA from 1 species
AUUGAACGCUGGCGGCAGGCCUAACACAUGCAAGUCGAGCGAGCGGCGGACGGGUGAGUAAUGUAUGGGGACUGCCCGAUAGAGGGGGAUAACUACUGGAAACGGUAGCUAAUACCGCAUACUAUCGGAUAACCCAUAUGGGAUUAGCUAGUAGGUGAGGUAAUGGCUCACCUAGGCGACGAUCCCUAGCUGUUCUGAGAGGAUGAUCAGCCAACCGGGGACUGAGAAAGGGCCAAGACCCCUACGGAGGCAGAAGUGGGGAAUAUGGCACAAGGGGCGCAAGCCUGAUGCAGCCAGGCCGGGUGUAUGAAGAAGGCCCUAGGGUUGUAAAGUACUUUCAGGCGGGAGGCGUUACCGACAGAAGAAGCACCGGCUAAUUCCGUGCCAGCAGCCGCGGUAAUA